CUACGGGCGGCUCCAGUGGGGAAUAUUGCGCAAUGGAGGAAACUCUGACGCAGCCAUGCCGCGUGUAUGAAGAAGGCCUUCGGGUUGUAAAGUACUUUUAACUGUCAAAAUAGUGAUGGUAGCAGUAGAAAAAGUCCCGGCUAAUUCCGUGCCAGCAGCCGCGGUAAUACGGAAGGGGCAAACGUUGUUCGGAUUCACUGGGCGUAAAGCGACCGCAGGCGGUUUAUUAAGUCAGAUGUGAAAUCCCCGUGCUCAACAUGGGAACUGCAUUUGAAACUGGUAAACUAGAGUUCGAGAGAGGAAAAUGGAAUUCCAAGUGUAGAGGUGAAAUUCGUAGAUAUUUGGAGGAACGUCAGAGGCGAAGGCGAUUUUCUGGCUCGAUACUGACGCUCAGGGUCGAAAGCGUGGGGAGCAAACAGGAUUAGAUACCCCCGUAGUC
rnacentral:rRNA from 1 species